AGUGAACGCUGGCGGUAGGCCUAACACAUGCAAGUCGAACGGCAGCACAGUAAGAGCUUGCUCUUACGGGUGGCGAGUGGCGGACGGGUGAGGAAUACAUCGGAAUCUACUUUUUCGUGGGGGAUAACGUAGGGAAACUUACGCUAAUACCGCAUACGACCUACGGGUGAAAGCAGGGGAUCUUCGGACCUUUCGCGAUUGAAUGAGCCGAUGUCGGAUUAGCUAGUUGGCGGGGUAAAGGCCCACCAAGGCAACGAUUCGUAGCGGAUCUGAGAGGAUGAUCGGCCACACUGGAACGGAGACACGGUCCAGACUCCUAGGGGAGGAAGCAGUGGGGAAUGUUGGACAAUGGGCGAAAGCCUGACAGAGCAACGCCGCGGGAGUGAAGAAGGUCUUGGGGUUGUAAAACUCUUUUAUGGGGGAAGAAAAAAAGUGGAAGUAACCCCGCAUGUCUUGACGGUACCAAAAAAGAAAGCACCGGCUAACUACGUG
rnacentral:rRNA from 1 species